CGGGGAGUAGCGCAGCCUGGUAGCGCAUCUGGUUUGGGACCAGAGGGUCGCUGGUUCGAAUCCAGUCUCCCCGACCA
rnacentral:tRNA from 1 species